AUAUUAAUAAGCGCAGGAAAAGAAACUAACUAGGAUGCCCCCAGUAACGGCGAGUGAAGCGGGCACAGCUCAUGGCGUUAAUCUCCAUGGUACACACCAUGGCGAAUUGUACCCUGCAGACGGCACGUCAGGCGUGGCAAGUGUAAAAGUCUCCUGGAAAGGGGCAUCGUAGAGGGUGACAAUCCCGUUCACGACACUCGGCCCGCGCCGUACGACUGCCGAUCCUAGAGUCGCUUGCUUGGGAAUGCAAGCCAAAGUAGGUCGUACACACGAUCCAAGGCUAAAUAUCAACGAGAGACCGAUAGCGCACAAGUA
rnacentral:rRNA from 1 species